UUGAACGCUGGCGGCAGGCCUAACACAUGCCGGUCGAAUGGUAACAGGAAACAGCUUGCUGUUUCGCUGACGAGUGGCGGACGGGGGAGUAAUGUCUGGGAAACUGCCUGAUGGAGGGGGAUAACUACGGGAAACGGUAGCUAAUACCGCAUAACGUCGCAAGACCAAAGAGGGGGACCUUCGGGCCUCUUGCCAUCAGAUGUGCCCAGAUGGGAUUAGCUAGUAGGUGGGGUAACGGCUCACCUAGGCGACGAUCCCUAGCUGGUCUGAGAGGAUGACCAGCCACACUGGAACUGAGACACGGUCCAGACUCCUACGGGAGGCAGCAGUGGGGAAUAUUGCACAAUGGGCGCAAGCCUGAUGCAGCCAUGCCGCGUGUAUGAAGAAGGCCUUCGGGUUGUAAAGUACUUUCAGCGGGGAGGAAGGGAGUAAAGUUAAUACCUUUGCUCAUUGACGUUACCCGCAGAAGAAGCACCGGCUAACUCCGUG
rnacentral:rRNA from 1 species